UACGUAGGGUGCAGGCGUUAAUCGGAAUUACUGGGCGUAAAGCGUGCGCAGGCGGUCUUUUAAGUCAGAUGUGAAAUCCCCGGGCUUAACCUGGGAAUGGCAUUUGGGACUGCAAGGCUUGAGUGCGGCAGAGGAGACUGGAAUUCCUGGUGUAGCAGUGAAAUGCGUAGAUAUCAGGAGGAACACCGAUGGCGAAGGCAGGUCUCUGGGCUGACACUGACGCUCAUGCACGAAAGCGUGGGGAGCAAACAGG
rnacentral:rRNA from 1 species